rnacentral:lncRNA from 13 species
ACCUGGAACUUGAAAGUAGGCUUCUAGGAAAUGCUCUAAAGCUAAAGGGAAAAGUGAGACAAAACUCUCCCCUGGAAAGCUACAAAUAAACAGAAAAGAAUGAGGGGAGUGAUAUUCUCUGAGACCUGUUCUCAGAGAAAUUCUCUGGACAUGUUUUAAAGCCAAAAUAACACUUCAUACUACCUCUAAUGUAAGUAUAAUUUGUUUUUAAUGUUAAAUGUCAGCUUGCAAAAAAAUGCCGCAGGCACCAACGAUGAUGCUUGUCCCAGGUAACGGCAACCUGACCAUGUCGGCUGUGUUUUAAUUAAACCUGGGCCGGGUCCAGAGCGGCUCCUGUGCGGGGUUCUCAUCAGCAGAGGCUCCGAGCUCUCGGGUGAGGGAAACACGCUCAUGGGAAAAGACUGGAAUGAAAUUGUCUUCCUCGGCGGCCGUGCGAUGUCAGCAGGAGCAAAUCCCCGCACCCCUCUCCGGCAGGCACUUGGCCACUCCACUCUGCCUCCGCGCCUCCCCUCGUUCCAGAGUUUCCAGGCUCAGCGCUGCCGUGGGACCCUGAGCUUUUAUUGCAGGAAGAUUCCAGAACUUUCCAUGACCUAAGGAACGUGGGCAAGUGCAACAGCAGAAACAGAGGCCAGGACAGGCCAGUAAGCCGGGCAGGUGAGCUGUGGACUGCCCAGGCUCGCCCUGAUGCCUCACCAGGAAGUGCAGCCAGACUAGCCUAACAAGAACACCCAGG